GAUGAACGCUGGCGGCGUGCCUAAUACAUGCAAGUCGAGCGAACGGACGAGAAGCUUGCUUCUCUGAUGUUAGCGGCGGACGGGUGAGUAACACGUGGAUAACCUACCUAUAAGACUGGGAUAACUUCGGGAAACCGGAGCUAAUACCGGAUAAUAUUUUGAACCGCAUGGUUCAAUAGUGAAAGACGGUAUUGCUGUCACUUAUAGAUGGAUCCGCGCUGCAUUAGCUAGUUGGUAAGGUAACGGCUUACCAAGGCAACGAUGCAUAGCCGACCUGAGAGGGUGAUCGGCCACACUGGAACUGAGACACGGUCCAGACUCCUACGGGAGGCAGCAGUAGGGAAUCUUCCGCAAUGGGCGAAAGCCUGACGGAGCAACGCCGCGUGAGUGAUGAAGGUCUUCGGAUCGUAAAACUCUGUUAUUAGGGAAGAACAUAUGUGUAAGUAACUGUGCACAUCUUGACGGUACCUAAUCAGAAAGCCACGGCUAACUACGUG
rnacentral:rRNA from 1 species